AGAGAGGAACUCUGCCCACAGAAGAAAGAGGCAGAGUUCAGGUUGUGCUUAGCAGAGGAUCAGUUUGAGAUCUACACUGACUGCAUCCCCGGGGCUUUUCAUCUCUUCUGUUUCCAUUUGUGUGAGGAAGCUGAGAUUCAGAAAGAUUCUGCACAAGAGAGCCAGUGUUUGGAUGUUGCCACACAGAGGAAGAAGGCAACCAACAGCCAGUUAGCUUCGAAGAGCAGCAACUAGCCAGCAGAGAGACCACUGCUUCCCCAAGGCUGUCAGAACUCCCAAGAGAAAGCAACAUUCACCUUCAGAGCAAAUGUUAACCUACUGAAGACCCACCACCCCAUUAGGUCACUAGAAUGGAGCUGUUCCUGCUAACAGAAGCACUUCCUGAGAUCCCGAGACCUCGAGGUAAAUGUCUGAACGCCAUUACCACGUACAAAUGUUUAUCUCCUUACUGUACAUGCUCAAAGUGAGAAACCAGUGUAUGCGAUACUGUGGAGGCCAAAGAUGCUGCUGUUCCUACUCCAAUCCCCAAUGUCUGUGUGCAUCAGGACAGGCUCUCUGGCUCUCAGUCAUUGUCUCUUAAGAAAUGGCUGCAUAUCUGAACAGAACACCUUAUGCUAAUGAAAUACUGCCUUUAUCUGUUUUACACAUUGAGUUUAUUCAUUUGACAAAUGAGGAAACUGAGUUUGGAGAAUGAUUUGCCUGAAGUACACGACUCAGCUGCUGGCCAGUACCCUGCUUCCCCUCCCAGCUUCCCUGAGGUAUUUGUCCCUUACCACUUUAUAGCCAGGCGGACAGAGGCCGAGAGGGGAUACAAGAUGGCUGGAA